rnacentral:rRNA from 2 species
UAGGGAAUCUUCGGCAAUGGACGAAAGUCUGACCGAGCAACGCCGCGUGAGUGAAGAAGGUUUUCGGAUCGUAAAACUCUGUUGUUAGAGAAGAACAAGGACGUUAGUAACUGAACGUCCCCUGACGGUAUCUAACCAGAAAGCCACGGCUAACUACGUGCCAGCAGCCGCGGUAAUACGUAGGUGGCAAGCGUUGUCCGGAUUUAUUGGGCGUAAAGCGAGCGCAGGCGGUUUCUUAAGUCUGAUGUGAAAGCCCCCGGCUCAACCGGGGAGGGUCAUUGGAAACUGGGAGACUUGAGUGCAGAAGAGGAGAGUGGAAUUCCAUGUGAAGCGGUGAAAUGCGUAGAUAUAUGGAGGAACACCAGUGGCGAAGGCGGCUCUCUGGUCUGUAACUGACGCUGAGGCUCGAAAGCGUGGGGAGCAAACAGG